CCUGGUUAGUCUCCCCCCGAAAGGGAAGAUGUGUGACGAAAGCAACUUCGCCAAUGGUUUUUGGAGGGGCCUGUUUGCCAGCCUUCUACCCUGGGACUGUGGGCCCUGUGAUAACCCAUGUUCAGAAGUACUGUUUCCGGCACUUGGACUUUUAACUGGAACAGAUUCAGGCAUGUGGUGUGGCGGUCAUCUUAAAUUGUCCAGCAGUGUUUUGUCGUUGAGUGUAUGGAACUGUUUUGGGCAUGGAACCAUGUGCACGGUGGGGCAAAAAUAAGACUUAACCCCUGAACUUAUCUGAGGUGAUUUUUGGAUAUGUUGUUCACCAAAAACGGGGAUGUGACUUUUGUGGGGAUAUGUUUUAUUUUGGGGUACUUUUUGGGGGUUUGUAAAAAUGUAUAUUUUUUUCUGCGUUUUUCUGAGUUAAUUGAGUUAGUCCAUUAUCUUUGUUAAUUAUAUCACAGGCAGAGGGGAGGGAUUGUGUACACUGUAUGGGAGUGUCUGAAUGUAAACCUCUGUUUUUAUUGGUUUGUAUGUUUUGUAUUCAGUGCCCAACUAGGUCCACCUGGGCGUCACCUUUGCUGUAAAACUUGUAUAAAAGACCAGUGUGUGCCAUUAAACUUUCUGUUCCUGUUUGACCCUCAACAUGUAGUCUUGUCUUGUCUGCUAUAAUCACACUGGGGAUAUCUAUACUUUGUAUACUCCCCUGGGCUCUAAUCACUUAGCUCUUUUAAGAGCUGUUCCUGUUAUGCUCUCCUGGAGGAGAGGUCUCCGCCACAUGGUCCUGGAGGACAGAGGCUGAUCCAGGGUGGAAAGAAGACGGCGAGAUUCCAGUUAAGCUACAGCGGUUGUGGAGUCUGCGGUGGUUGUGGUGUCCGGUGCGGUGCUUAUAGUCCUCGGCGUCAGCUAAGAAGCAUUCGUCAACAGAGGUGCCCAGUCAGGGUGCCAGGUGAUCCAUUACACUCAUUAUUCAGGUUUUAAUUGCCCUGUUGGCACUUUGCGGGUAAAAAAAAAGUUGCCAUGUAUUGCAGUUUGGGCACUCGGGCUCAAAAAGGGCUUAUGAAAUGUAGUGUAUAGGGAUACCAGUUUGUGUAGGUGAUGCAGUGUGUCUGUGUGUAGUGGAUGCAGUGUGUUUUUUGUGUAAGGGAUAGAAAGCAGUGUCUACUUGUGUGUAAGAGAUGCAUUGUGCUUCUGUGUGUGUGUAAGAGAAGCAGUGUGUGUUUGUGUGUGUGUGUGUGUGUAUGUGUGCAAGGGAUGCAUUGUCUUUGUGUGUAAUGGAUGCAUUGUAUGUUUCUCUGUGUGUAAGGGAAGCAUGGUGCAUUUCUUUGUGUGUAGGGAUGCAUUGUGUGUUUCUGUGUAUGUAUAGGAAAGCAUUGUGUGUGUAGUGUGAAAGAGAGGGUUUGUGGGGUAGGAUAGGGACUGAGUACUACCAGCCCCUUUGUGCUUCUCUUUCCCCCCUUCCUCAGCCUCUCUUCUUGUCCCUUACUGAUCUCCCCUCCUGUCCCUUAGAGCUCUCCCCUACCCCCUUUCCUGUAGUGCUCUCCCCUCCUGUCCCUUAGAGCUCUCCCCUCCUGUCUCCUAGUGCUCUCUCCUACCUCCCCCCAUCCCUUGAUGCUCCCCAUCCCUUAGUGCUCUCUCCUCCCCCUCCUCUCCCCCAGAGAGCUCUCCCCUGCCCCUUAGUGGUCUCUCCUCUCCCCCACCCCAUUAAUGGUCUCCCCUCUCCCCUCUCCCCCUUAGUGGUCUCUGCUUUUCUCUGCCCCCCCAGUGGUCUCUCCUUCUCCCCUCCCUUUACUUAGUGGUCUCUCCUCUCCCCCCGCCUCUUUAGUGGUCUCUUUUCUC
rnacentral:lncRNA from 1 species